UUUAAGGUUGGGUCUCUUUAAAACUGAAAACGACUGCAAGCAAACCUCUUGUCUACCUGUACAUUCACACACACACGCAUAGUCUAAUGUGUGUGUAUAAUAUAUUCAUAACAUAGAUGCUUGGCUUUUGGGGAAUAAUUAAAUAAUCUAACAUCACCAAUUCCAUACAUUAAAAACCUCCAAGCCUCCAUCUCCAGGGCAGAAACAAAACCAUCAACACAGCUAAUUAAGAGAAGAACAUGGAGAAAGUGUGCUGCAUGUGCGGCGACGUCGGCUUUUCCGACAAGCUAUUCCGCUGCGGGCACUGCCGCAACCGCUUUCAACACUCUUAUUGUAGUAAUUACUACAGUGAGUUUGCGGAGCCGACCGAGAUUUGCGACUGGUGCCAGAGCGACGACAAAAAGCUGAGCAGCGUUGCUAAAAAAGGCGGAUCUUCUGUUUCUUCUUCAAAGAAGAAGAAGGCUUCUUCCUCCGUAAAUUACGAGAGCGGGGUCACAAACCAAUCGGAGUAUCCUUCCGGUGGCGGGAUCAAGCAUGACAAUAACCAUCAUGAUCAAGUGGCCAAGAGCGUUGUUGCAGGACCUGCAGGAGGCGGAAUGCCGUCGCCGAGGACGGCCACGCGAAGGUACAAGCUUCUCAAGGAUGUCAGGUGUUAGAUCAAUUUCUGAAAGAGAGCUUAUAAUAUAAUAUGCUAAAAUAAUAAUAAAAAUGCGCCUUUGAGAUAUGAUUGAGUGGUUUAUAUAAUAUUAGGAUUAUCUAUGUAUAUAUAUGUAUAAUUAAUUAGCCCCCACCCGAGACAGCAACAUCAACAUGUCAACGAUAGAAGUCGUUUUUUAUUAUUCUUUUUUUUCAUAGGUAUAGUGAAUGUAUAUCUCGUUGAGAAGCUUUUCGUACUAAUGUUGAAAAAAUAAUGAAUGGAUGUUUGUCGUGAGCUUCCA